rnacentral:tRNA from 1 species
GAAAUAAACUAAUAAAGCUUCUAACUUUAACUAUAGAUAUAAAAUAUCUUUAUUUCU